rnacentral:rRNA from 1 species
AACGAACGCUGGCGGCAGGCUUAACACAUGCAAGUCGAGCGCAGGGAACUGACGGAACUCUUCGGAGGGAAGGCAGUGGAAUGAGCGGCGGACGGGUGAGUAACACGUAAGGAACCUGCCUCAAGGAUUGGGAUAACUCCGAGAAAUCGGAGCUAAUACCGGAUAGUUCAACGGACCGCAUGGUCCGCUGAUGAAAGGCGCUCCGGCGUCACCUUGAGAUGGCCUUGCGGUGCAUUAGCUAGUUGGUGGGGUACCGGCUCACCAAGGCGACGAUCCGUAGCAGACGUGAGAGGGGGACGGGCCAGUGUGAGACUGAGAGCCGGCCCAGCAUCCGACGGGAGGCAGCCGUAGGGAAUCUUCCACAAUGGACGAAAUUCUGAUGGAGCAACGCCGCGUGAGUGAUGAAGGUUUUCGGAUCGUAAAACUCUGGUGUAAGGGAAGAACACGUACGAGAGGAAAUGCUCGUACCUUGACGGUACCUUACGAGAAAGCCACGGCUAACUACGUGCCAGCCGCCGCAGUAACAC